rnacentral:lncRNA from 1 species
AAAACCCCUCUUCUCUUUAUUUUCUCCAGGUCUUCCCCUCAAGUGUCAAAGGAACAUUGCCUCUUUCAGCUGCUCCCUGCUCUAGGGCAGGAGAGAAGUGCUCUCUGGACACUACCCAGACUUGUGUUAAAACUGCUGUUGUCAAAAAGGUUGCUUGUAUGCCCAUUUGAAAGCAGGAAAUGGAAUCUGUUUGAAGGACAAUUAAGCAUGUAUGGCUGGCAGAAAUACCAGGAGGUUGGGGAGGCACACAGCCUGGAAGGAGCCUUUGGCAAAAGCUCAUCUCAUGGAUGCCUAAGAGGAGCUGAGGAUUUACCUGAAACAGGAGGCAAACAGGAAAGCAAGCCCCAAAAAUGACAGAGAUGUUUUCCCAAAGGUUCAGAAAAUAUCAGAUGGAGUUUGUGCAACCAGAGAAGCUGCUGAAAGGACCAAAGAGUAUAACAUCCAAAGACACGAUUACAGGAAGAAUUAUACGGGACAUCUGUGAAGUGCAGAGUGUAGACUUUUUCUUCUGCAAGUUACCCUUCGUGUAAAGUUCAAUUUACUAAAAUUAGUUCAGUUUUCAGAAGAAACAGUAGAGACUCUUUCCUUUCAAUUACAGUUUUUCAUAAUCAGUGGCCAUGAUUCUUGCAUAAAGGAGCCCCAGUGAUUUAACACUGGAGUGUUUAAUGGUGAUGGGAACUUUUACACUCAGUUGAAAUGUUGGCUUUUAGCACAGCUUUAUAACUUUUUAAAUUAUCAAUACACUUCACAUUAACUAGCAUGAUCUUCUGUUAAGAAUUGCUUUUGUCUUGGUUUGUCCAGCUUAGACUUUCCCAUACAGGUUUGUAAAUUGAUUCAAUUACUGAACAGCAUGAUUAUGGCUCUUUCUGCUCUCCCAAAAUGAGUAGCUGUCUAGUGCUUUGUACCAACAGAGAAUCAAGACCAUAAAAAUAAACUGAAAUUUUAUCAGUUCCA